GCUUCAAAGCAGCUGAGAAAACAACCUUUUUCUAAGUCUUGGACAAGGAGGAAAAUCCCUGGCAUGAAGGAUUUCUGUCGCAGACAUUUGGCACAGCUAGAGGAAAGGUUUGGUUAGCUUAGCAAUGGGUUUUAUUAGCCCAGGCAUCCAGUUGAAAUGAGAUAAUAGGGUCCCUGUUGAAGGACAUUUUAGAGUCAGUGGGUUUGCUGCCUUUGCUUCUCAGCAGGACCCUUGCGUACAGAUGAAAGUAUCAGACAUGUUCAACAAGGGCAUCGCUGAUUCUCAUUGCCAAGUCCCCUCUGGCGACCUUCACCACAUUUGUCUACACCAUUGAGAAGGAAGGCCUGGUUCUUCAAGACCAACAGAGGCCAUAGGGACACUAUGACCUUUGUCUAGAGCUGAUGGGGGCGUGAUUUGUGAAAUGAAACAGGACUGGGCUGCUUGGAAGAAGGAAACGGAAGCCAACAUAAUGGGGAUUAAUUAGUUGAUUGCUGUUGAGAUGGUAACAGAUUUGCACCACCACCCCCCCCUCCUUACCAUUGAACCAGCCAUCUCAGACCUAGCAGGGAAGGUGAAGAUGAAGAGGCCUUUGUUCGGGUCUCUAGAUGCUUGGGGCUGUAGGCUUUGCCGCCAUGGGAUGGCAACAGCCAUAAUAAUAAUAAUUUGCACUUAUAUAGCACCUUUCAACCAGGCACCUCAAAGCGGUUUAACCACAUUAAUUAAUUAAAGCCCACAAUCCCCCUGCGGAGAGGAGGAGGAUGACUAACAGGAUUUGUAAUUACAGGAGGGAACAUUUCCGAAUAAAGUAUUGUCCAC